rnacentral:rRNA from 1 species
UAAGCAGAAAGUGAAAGCGUGUCGCUCAACGACAUAUACAUUUUCUGAACUGAAGAACUAGAGGAUGAGAGAGGUUAUUGGAAUUUCUUGUGUAGGAGUGAAAUCCGUAGAUAUAAGAAGGAACACCGAUGGCGUAGGCAGAUAACUGGCUCAUACCUGACACUAAGGCACGAAAGCGUGGGGAGCGAACGGGAUUAGAUACCCCGGUAGUCCACGCCGUAAACGAUGGAUGCUA